CACCGACAAUGGAACAAUAUGCACCAACAAAAGAACAAUAUGCACCAACGAAGGCAAGUAGGUAAAAAAAAUAGGAAUUAACCAAAAAUAAUUCCCUGAAAAUGUUUUUUGUUACACCGUCUGCUAAUGAAUGCCACGUCUGCUUCUCCCAGUCCGUCAGUUGUUGCAGGUGGAAACGGGCCUACGAACAAGAGGGACCUGGCGUUUUUACACUGAUCUACCUGUUAUUUUGGUCUUUUACUGGGUUUUUUUUUUUU